UACGUAGGGACCGAGCGUUGUCCGGAAUCAUUGGGCGUAAAGAGCGUGUAGGCGGCCACUUAAGUCCUGCGUGAAAUCUUGCGGCUCAACCGCAAGCGGUCGUGGGAAACUGGGUGGCUAGAGUGCGGGAGAGGAGAGUGGAAUUCCUGGUGUAGCGGUGGAAUGCGCAGAUAUCAGGAAGAACACCCGUGGCGAAGGCGGCUCUCUGGAACGCAACUGACGCCUGAGACGCGAAAGCGUGGGGAGCAAACAGG
rnacentral:rRNA from 1 species